CCUACGGGAGGCUGCAGUGGGGAAUAUUGCACAAUGGGGGAAACCCUGAUGCAGCGACGCCGCGUGAGUGAAGAAGUAUUUCGGUACGUAAAGCUCUAUCAGCAGGGAAGAAAAUGACGGUACCUGACUAAGAAGCCCCGGCUAACUACGUGCCAGCAGCCGCGGUAAUACGUAGGGGGCAAGCGUUAUCCGGAUUUACUGGGUGUAAAGGGAGCGUAGACGGCAGCGCAAGUCUGGAGUGAAAUCCCAUGGCUUAACCAUGGAACUGCUUUGGAAACUGUGCAGCUAGAGUGCAGGAGAGGUAAGCGGAAUUCCUAGUGUAGCGGUGAAAUGCGUAGAGAUUAGGAGGAACACCAGUGGCGAAGGCGGCUUACUGGACUGUAACUGACGUUGAGGCUCGAAAGCGAGGGGAGCAAACAGGAUUAGAGACCCUAGUAGUC
rnacentral:rRNA from 1 species